rnacentral:rRNA from 1 species
AGGAUAGAACGCUAGGCGGGAGGCUUAACACAUGCAAGUCGGAGGGGCAGCAGUAGGGUAGCAAUACUCUGAUGGCGACCGGGCAAACGGGUGAGUAACGCGUAUGCAACCUACCCUGUACAGGGGGAUAACCCGGAGAAAUUCGGACUAAUAUCCCGUAAUAAUAUCCGGAGGCAUCUUUGGAUAUUUAAAGUUCCGACGGUACGGGAUGGGCAUGCGUAACAUUAGCUGGUUGGUAAGGUAACGGCUUACCAAGGCUAUGAUGUUUAGGGGUCCUGAGAGGGUGGUCCCCCACACUGGUACUGAGACACGGACCAGACUCCUACGGGAGGCAGCAGUGAGGAAUAUUGGUCAAUGGGCGCAAGCCUGAACCAGCCAUCCCGCGUGCAGGAAGACGGCCCUAUGGGUUGUAAACUGCUUUUCCAGGGAGAGAAACUUACGCACGUGUUGCGUGACUGACGGUACCCUGGGAAUAAGCAUCGGCUAACUCCGUG